rnacentral:lncRNA from 1 species
GAUGAUCAGUAAGCCACCAGCCCUAUCUAUUCCCAACCAAAGCCUUGACACCCGAAGACUAACCAAAGAAGAACUUAAGGAAAGAUCAACAAAGGGUUUGUACUAUGAUGAAAAGUGGAGUAUGGAGCACCGAUGUAAACAAGAGCAACUUCUAAUUAUUGAGCCAAUUAGAGAGGAACCAGAAGUAAAAGAGUUGGACUCCGAUCAUAAAGGUAUGAAAACUGAUGAAGAUAUUGAAGCCAUCACACAUACAGUACAUGCAUUGGCUGGCUACACUAACCCACAAACUAUGAAAAUCGGAAGAACUUUGAAGCAUCAACUUGUCACUAUUUUGAUUGAUACAGA